CUACGGGGGGCAGCAGUGGGGAAUAUUGCACAAUGGGCGCAAGCCUGAUGCAGCCAUGCCGCGUGUAUGAAGAAGGCCUUCGGGUUGUAAAGUACUUUCAGCGGGGAGGAAGGGAGUAAAGUUAAUACCUUUGCUCAUUGACGUUACCCGCAGAAGAAGCACCGGCUAACUCCGUGCCAGCAGCCGCGGUAAUACGGAGGGUGCAAGCGUUAAUCGGAAUUACUGGGCGUAAAGCGCACGCAGGCGGUUUGUUAAGUCAGAUGUGAAAUCCCCGGGCUCAACCUGGGAACUGCAUCUGAUACUGGCAAGCUUGAGUAUCGUAGAGGGGGGUAGAAUUCCAGGUGUAGCGGUGAGAUGCGUAGAGAUCUGGAGGAAUACCGGUGGCGAAGGCGGCCUCCUGGACGAAGACUGACGCUCAGGUGCGAAAGCGUAGGGAGCAAACAGGAUUAGAUACCCUCGUAGUC
rnacentral:rRNA from 1 species